GACGAACGCUGGCGGCGUGCUUAACACAUGCAAGUCGAACGAUGAAGCCGGAGCUUGCUCCGGUGGAUUAGUGGCGAACGGGUGAGUAACACGUGAGCAAUCUGCCCUUGACUCUGGGAUAACUGCGGGAAACUGUAGCUAAUACCGGAUACGACACCUUGGGGCAUCCCAGGGUGUGGAAAGAAUUUCGGUCAAGGAUGAGCUCGCGGCCUAUCAGCUAGUUGGUGAGGUAAUGGCUCACCAAGGCGACGACGGGUAGCCGGCCUGAGAGGGGAACCGGCCACACUGGAACUGAGACACGGUCCAGGCUCCUACGGGAGGCAGCAGUGGGGAAUAUUGCACAAUGGGCGAAAGCCUGAUGCAGCAACGCCGCGUGAGGGAUGAAGGCCUUCGGGUUGUAAACCUCUUUUAGCAGGGAAGAAGCGAAAGUGACGGUACCUGCAGAAAAAGCACCGGCUAACUACGUGCCAGCAGCCGCCGUAA
rnacentral:rRNA from 1 species